AUUUGAUAUACGCCCUCUAUCGGCCCUUUUUCGCCAUCUUUGAUAAGUAGAACAGUGUUGAGAAUCUACUUUGAGAUUGUGUCGGCUUUCCAACUAGAACAAUGGCCAAGUCUAAGAACCAUACAAGUCAUAAUCAAAGUAAAAAAAAUCACAGGAAUGGAAUCAAAAAGCCAAAGACACAGCGAUAUCCAUCAUUAAAAGGGGUUGAUCCAAAAUUUAUGAAGAACCUGAGGUUUGCAAAAAAACACAAUGUACGUCACCCCAAGCCAAAAGCAUAAAGAUCUCAGACAGCCAGACCCAAUUUAGGCAUACAACACUGGACUAAGAUGUGUACACUAUAGAGUUGGGAAAUAAAAUUAAUUGUACAAACAUU